rnacentral:rRNA from 1 species
GUGCUCUGAUGCUUAUUGCACCACAUGUGUUUUUCUUUGAAACAAACUUGCUUUGGCGGUGGGCCCAGCCUGCCGCCAGAGGUCUAAACUUACAACCAAUUUUUUAUCAACUUGUCACACCAGAUUAUUACUAAUAGUCAAAACUUUCAACAACGGAUCUCUUGGUUCUCGCAUCGAUGAAGAACGCAGCGAAAUGCGAUACGUAAUAUGAAUUGCAGAUAUUCGUGAAUCAUCGAAUCUUUGAACGCACAUUGCGCCCUCUGGUAUUCCGGAGGGCAUGCCUGUUUGAGCGUCGUUUCUCCCUCAAACCGCUGGGUUUGGUGUUGAGCAAUACGACUUGGGUUUGCUUGAAAGACGGUAGUGGUAAGGCGGGAUCGCUUUGACAAUGGCUUAGGUCUAACCAAAAACAUUGCUUGCGGCGGCAACGUCUACCACGUAUAUCUUCAAACUUUGACCUCAAAUCAGGUAGGACUACCCGCUGAACUUAAGCAUAUCAAA